AACGAACGCUGGCGGCGUGCCUAAGACAUGCAAGUCGUGCGGAAAGGCUCCUUCGGGAGUACUCGAGCGGCGCACGGGUGAGUAACACGUGGGUAACCUACCUGAGGGUCUGGGAUAACUCCGGGAAACUGGGGCUAAUACCAGAUGAGACCACAGCGUCUUCGGGCGCAGCGGUCAAAGAUGGCCUCUCCUUGGAAGCUAUCGCCUACAGAUGAGCCCCGNGUCCCAUAGCUAGUUGGCGGGGUAACGGCCACCAAGGCGACGAUGGGUAGCUGGUCUGAGAGGAUGAUCAGCCACACUGGAACUGAGACACGGUCCAGACUCCUACGGGAGGCAGCAGUCGGGAAUUUUGGGCAAUGGGCGAAAGCUGACGCAGCGACGCCGCGUGGGGGA
rnacentral:rRNA from 1 species